GUCUGCCCUAGAAGAGGGGGCAAGGAAGGAAAACAAAGCUGCAAGCACUGAAGAAUAUUAACAAGAGAAUAAGGUUGCCAGAUUUAACAAAUAAAAAUAUAAAACGCCGGCCAGGGCUCCUCAGAGAAAUGGCUGAUUCUAGGACUGGGGCAAGAAAUAUACAAGAUAAAUCUACAUAAAGGAAGUACUAAAAAAAAAUCUCCAAAUCCUACAUUAAAGGGACACAGGAGCCAACUGGAAGAGCUCCCAACGGCCAAAGCCAGAACAACUUGAGAAACAAAAUAAAGUAGGGUCGAGUCAUGACCCA
rnacentral:lncRNA from 1 species